rnacentral:rRNA from 1 species
GGAUCCAGACUUUGAUUAUGGCUCAGGACGAACGCUGGCGGCACGCUUAACACAUGCAAGUCGAACGAGAGAAGAGAAGCUUGCUUUUCUGAUCUAGUGGCGGACGGGUGAGUAACACGUGAGCAAUCUGCCUUUCAGAGGGGGAUACCGAUUGGAAACGAUCGUUAAUACCGCAUAAUAUAAUUGAACCGCAUGAUUUGAUUAUCAAAGACUUAUCGCUGAAAGAUGAGCUCGCGUCUGAUUAGCUAGUUGGUAAGGUAACGGCUUACCAAGGCGACGAUCAGUAGCCGGACUGAGAGGUUGAUCGGCCACAUUGGGACUGAGACACGGCCCAGACUCCUACGGGAGGCAGCAGUGGGGAAUAUUGCACAAUGGAGGAAACUCUGAUGCAGCGAUGCCGCGUGAGGGAAGAAGGUUUUAGGAUUGUAAACCUCUGUCUUCAGGGACGAAAAAAGACGGUACCUGAGGAGGAAGCUCCGGCUAACUACGUGCCAGCAGCCGCGGUAAUACGUAGGGAGCGAGCGUUGUCCGGAAUUACUGGGUGUAAAGGGAGCGUAGGCGGGAUCGCAAGUCAGAUGUGAAAACUAUGGGCUUAACCCAUAAACUGCAUUUGAAACUGUGGUUCUUGAGUGAAGUA